CUCCGAAGGCGGACAACUUCAUCAGUCAUCGUCUGGAGCUUCCUUCGGUAGUCCUCUUCUUGCCUGCUCCAGCCGACUCGAUAGGCGUUGUAAUUCACCUCAGCAUCCUACAGCUGCUUUUGAAGGUCAGAGAGCUUCUACGACUAGUCUCGGUUGCGGUCGGCUUGGACUGUGAGCCAGGAUGAGCUCCCUUCCAACUAGUCGAUCUUCUCCCGUGCGGCCACC
rnacentral:lncRNA from 1 species